rnacentral:lncRNA from 1 species
UGGAAUCAGAACUGUCCAAUAUUUAAUGACAAUUAUGAAAAUACUUGCUUAGCAAUUAUUUCAUUUUCCCUUGUGGAUGAUUAAAACUGAAAGCACCUGUGAUGUCUGGAUGAGAAAAAGCGUCCCAAUUUGUAAGAUGUUUUCAGGUAUAUCAGGCCAUGGUGCCAACUGGAUUUCAAACGUGCUGGAUUACAGUGGAACCCCUGUGGAAGAACCUGUGACAUUCACAUGAACACCACAUGAAUUCUUAAUAAUCUGCAGGUUAUACUGAAUACUGA